UCGAGCGAACCGAUGGAGUGCUUGCAUUCCUGAGGUUAGCGGCGGACGGGUGAGUAACACGUAGGCAACCUGCCUGUACGACCGGGAUAACUCCGGGAAACCGGAGCUAAUACCGGAUAGGAUGCCGAACCGCAUGGUUCGGCAUGGAAAGGCCUUUGAGCCGCGUACAGAUGGGCCUGCGGCGCAUUAGCUAGUUGGUGGGGUAACGGCCUACCAAGGCGACGAUGCGUAGCCGACCUGAGAGGGUGAACGGCCACACUGGGACUGAGACACGGCCCAGACUCCUACGGGAGGCAGCAGUAGGGAAUCUUCCGCAAUGGACGAAAGUCUGACGGAGCAACGCCGCGUGAGUGAGGAAGGUCUUCGGAUCGUAAAACUCUGUUGUCAGGGAAGAACCGCCGGGAUGACCUCCCGGUCUGACGGUACCUGACGAGAAAGCCCCGGCUAACUACGUGCCAGCAGCCGCGGUAAUACGUAGGGGGCAAGCGUUGUCCGGAAUUAUUGGGCGUAAAGCGCGCGCAGGCGGCUUCUUAAGUCAGGUGUGAAAGCCCACGGCUCAACCGUGGAGGGCCAUCUGAAACUGGGGAGCUUGAGUGCAGGAGAGGAGAGCGGAAUUCCACGUGUAGCGGUGAAAUGCGUAGAGAUGUGGAGGAACACCAGUGGCGAAGGCGGCUCUCUGGCCUGUAACUGACGCUGAGGCGCGAAAGCGUGGGGAGCAAACAGGAUUAGAUACCCUGGUAGUCCACGCCGUAAACGAUGAGUGCUAGGUGUUGGGGAGUCCACCUCCUCAGUGCCGCAGCUAACGCAAUAAGCACUCCGCCUGGGGAGUACGGCCGCAAGGCUGAAACUCA
rnacentral:rRNA from 1 species